rnacentral:rRNA from 1 species
AGUCAAUAGAUACCCCGGUAGUCCACGCCGUAAACGAUGAGUACUAGGUGUAGGAGGUAUCGACUCCUUCUGUGCCGCAGUUAAACACAAUAAGUACUCCGCCUGGGAAGUACGGUCGCAAGAUUAAAACUCAAAGGAAUUGACGGGGGCCCGCACAAGCAGCGGAGCAUGUGGUUUAAUUCGAAGCAACGCGAAGAACCUUACCUAGACUUGACAUCUCCUGAAUAGUGUAGAGAUACAUGAAGCCCUUCGGGGCAGGAAGACAGGUGGUGCAUGGUUGUCGUCAGCUCGUGUCGUGAGAUGUUGGGUUAAGUCCCGCAACGAGCGCAACCCUUAUUACUAGUUGCUACCAUUAAGUUGAGCACUCUAGUGAGACUGCCCGGGUUAACCGGGAGGAAGGCGGGGAUGACGUCAAAUCAUCAUGCCCCUUAUGUCUAGGGCAACACACGUGCUACAAUGGUGGGUACAGAUAAAUGCGAUACCGCAAGGUGGAGCCAAACUCUAAAACUCA